CAAGGAGCAACAUGCUUGCAUUCAUUACCCGCGAAGCUCUCGAUGCAUGGAUGGAGACACCCGCCAUGGGAAAAGGCCCACGGGCCAUGAGUUGGCCAGGGAGGAGGAGAUCCAGCGCUGGGCCCUUGGGCGACCAGCUGAAGUCUCCUCUUGCUCUGUUUCCUGGAAGCUGGUCACAGAUGGGGCGAGCUGGUUUACAGCAGCAGAGAGGCCUGGAGUGCAAUGCGAGCCUCCACAGCGAUCCAGGGCAGCAGGUGCCCAAGACAAGAUACUCUUCGCUCAAGGAUCAGUUCAUGCCAAAAGGAGCCAAGGAGUCUCCAAAUGAGCCCAAGGUACGAGUGGCAACUUCUUCUGAGGUCAAAGCUGAAGGCUGACCACAUCCUUGAAAGAGCAUGCAAUAAAGCAGCUUUGCCUCCAUCUCCCUCUCCUCCGGUGGAUCUACACUGUAGAAUGAAUGCCGUGCGACACCGCCUUAACAGUCAUGGCUCAAUACAAUGCAAUCAUGGGAUGGUCCAAGUGCUUUCCACUUUCUCUUCCUUCAUCUGGUCUUUUCUUGGAAGCCACGCACACUCUAUCUUCCCACAUAUAAAUCUUCACCACGUAUCUUAGUUUCUUAUGGGGUAAGUGUCUCAACUGUGGCCUUCAGGGCUGCCUUCUAGCCUUCAUAGGGCAUCAUUUUGCCUACCAGCUGUGACCAACAGUGCUGUGGAAUUUAAAGAGGCGAAAGGGAGAAACGUGCCAAGAGGAAUGUGCGUCAAGCCAACCCUGACCGUGACCGCCUUCUGCCUGGAAACCGAUGACCUCGCUGUGGAAGAACAUGUGGGUCGAGAAUAGGGCUCUACAGUCACCUACGGUCAAGACACUGCACUUGGAAGGCCAUCAUCCUCGGACAACGAGGGAUCGCCUCAGCAAUGUCGGAAUUGCGACCUUUUGUAAAAGCGCUCAAGACUUGGCUGUUUGGUUGUGCAUUUAAGUAAAUCAGAUCUAAUUUGCCAAAUAGUCACUGUUGAAUGUUUCUAUGUUGAAUGUUUUUAUGUUGAAUGUUUUUAUAUUGUGGAAUAAUAUUUUAAAUUGUAAGUUGCUCAGAGCACUCUGGUGGAGAGCGACUAAUUAAGAAUCAUAGAAUCAUAGAAUCAUAGAAUAGUAGAGUUGGAAGAGACCUCAUGGGCCAUCCAGUCCAACCCCAUUCUGCCAAGAAGCAGGAAAUCGCAUUCAAAGCACCCCCGACAGAUGGCCAUCCAGCCUCUGCUUAAAAGCCUCCAAGGAAGGAGCCUCCACCACAGCCCGGGGGAGAGAGUUCCACUGCUGAAAAGCCCUUCUCACAGUGAGGAAGUUCUUCCUGAUGUUCAGGUGGAAUCUCCUUUCCUGUAGUUUGAAGCCAUUGUUCCGUGUCCUAGUCUGCAGGGCAGCAGAAAACAAGCUUGCUCCCUCCUCCCUAUGACUUCCCCUCACGUAUUUGUACAUGGCUAUCAUGUCUCCUCUCAGCCUUCUCUUCUGCAGGCUAAACAUGCCCAGCUCUUUAAGCCUCUCCUCAUAGGGCUUGUUCUCCAGACCUUUGAUCAUUUUAGUUGCUCUCCUCUGGACGCUUUCCAGCUUGUCAACAUCUCCCUUCAACUGUGGUGCCCAAAAUUGGACACAGUAUUCCAGGUGUGGUCUGACCAAGGCAGAAUAGAAUAAGGGGGAGCAUAACUUCCCUGGAUCUAGACGCUAUUCCCCUAUUGAUGCAGGACAGAAUCCCGUUGGCUUUCUUAGCAGCCGCAUCACAUUGCUGGCUCAUGUUUAACUUGUUGUCCACAAGGACUCCAAGAUCUUUUUCACAUGUACUGC
rnacentral:lncRNA from 11 species